rnacentral:rRNA from 1 species
GAUGAACGCUGGCGGCAUGCCUAAUACAUGCAAGUCAAACGGGUGUAGCAAUACACAAGUGGCGAACGGGUGAGUAACACAUAGACAACUUGUCCUUAAGACGAGGAUAACAGUUGGAAACGACUGCUAAAAACUGGAUAGGAUAAAGUAACGCAUGUUAAGAUAUUUAAAGAUGCUUUUGGGCAUUACUUAAGGAGGGGUCUAUGUCGCAUUAGCUAGUUGGUGAGGUAAGGGCUCACCAAGGCGACGAUGCGUAGCUGUGCUGAGAGGCAAAACAGCCACACUGGGACUGAGACACGGCCCAGACUCCUACGGGAGGCAGCAGUAGGGAAUUUUCGGCAAUGGGGGGGAACCCUGACCGAGCAAUGCCGCGUGAAUGAAGACGAUCUUCGGAUUGUAAAGUUCUGUUAUUGGGAAAGAAAGAUAUGGCGAGGAAAUGCGUUAUAUUUGACGGUAACCUGAUGAGUAAAGCCCCGGCUAAACAUGUGCCGAGCGAGCCGUAC